UUUUCCUCAGGCUUCCGGUCUGUUUGGUGCGCUGGUCGCGUGUCUUCCGAACUCUGCUGCUUCGCCCCGGCAAGAGCACUUCCUUCGGCGGCUGUUAAAACCGGCGCGCGGGUUCCCAACUUCGCAGAAGCAGUUCAUCGGCCCUCCGCUGGAGACCUCAGACCGCAGCCAUCGACGCCCCGCCUCGGGGGUCUGUCCCCACCCUCGGGGCCAGGUCACGGACCAGAGACCUGCGAAGCCCUCUCCUUAGGGGUUUAGUUCCCAGGCUUUCUGACCCCAGUAAUUCCAAACGCUUCCCUUUGUUUCCACAGCCCUAGCGUAGCAGCUGCUCCUUGCAGUUUUUGCUUCUGAGAUACUUAGAGUUCUCUUUUCAGCUCCUUCGGUAGUCACUUCGUACAUAGUGAUUCAUGAUGCGAAGUCCCUCUGUUGAAAUAACUGACGAGGCCUCUGUCUUCUGACUGUACUCUGACUUCCAUGCUCUUUCCACCCUCACUCGAGUACAUGCCCAGUCCCCAAUCUGUGGUGCUCCAGGCGUUGCCUCUGUGGCGCUGUGUCCCCUCCUUUGAACUCUGAUCCUUCUGCUCAGGCCCUUUCUCCCAGUCUGAAGUAAGGAGUGAAAAAAUGUGAAUUAUUCUACUCAUCUGGAAAAGAGAACCCUGAGGCAGGAACAAGUCGUUAAUUGCAUGCGCGUUUGUCCACAGCUCACCAGGAGUCAGGCCCUGUGCUAGGUGCUGGGAUGAAGCAGUGACUGACACAGGCCUGGACCUGUCAUUGUGAAGACUGCGUCUGUGACACAGAUACUGUGCCAUGUGGCAAAACUUAAAUGGAGACAUCAGCUCUUUGUGGGUCUCAAGUCUACUGGCUUUCAAUCAGCUCUUCUGCUUGACAGCUGCAGGUCUUGGGACUGCCCAGCCCCCAUAACCCUGUGAGUACAUUCCUGAUAAUAACCCUCUUUCUCUUGCCCUGCCCCACCCCACACCAUUUGUUCUGUUUCUCUGGAGAACCCUAAUACAUCAUUUACUAAUCAGGAAACAGAUUCAGAGACAUUAAUAACUCAUCCAACCUCACAGUUAACUGUAGAGUUGGGCUUGAAAUUCCAAGGUCGACUUUCUUACCCAAUACACCAUGCUACAUAUAUGUAUGUAAAAAUAAAAACCCCUGUGAACUGAAAA